AGAGUUUGAUCCUGGCUCAGGACGAACGCUGGCGGCGUGCUUAACACAUGCAAGUCGAGCUAUGAANNNUUAACAGANCCCUUCGGGCNGAAGAUAAGNNGGAUUAGCGGCGGACGGGUGAGUAACACGUGAGUAACCUGCCUUUGACAAGGGGAUAGCCACGGGAAACCGNGAUUAAUACCCUAUNGACACAUCAUAAGACAUGAUNAGUUGNUCAAAGCUACGGCGGUAUAAGAUGGACUCGCGUCCCAUUAGCUAGUUGGUGAGGUAACGGCCCACCAAGGCGACGAUGGGUAGCCGGCCUGAGAGGGUGUACGGCCACAUUGGAACUGAGAAACGGUCCAAACUCUACGGGAGGCAGCAGUGGGGAAUAUUGCACAAUGGAGGGAACUCUGAUGCAGCGACGCCGCGUGAACGAUGAAGGCCUUCGUGUGGUAAAGCUCUGUCCUAUGGGAAGAUAAUGACGGUACCAUAAGGAAAAGCCCCGGCUAAAUACGUGCCAGCAGCCGCGGUAAUACGUAUGGGGCGAGCGUUGUCCGGAAUCAUUGGGCGUAAAGGGUACGCAGGCGGUUUANCAAGUUGGAUGUAAAAUCUUGUAGCUCAACUACAAACGUGCAUNNAAAACUGGUUAACUUGGGUUAAGGAGAGGUAAGUGGAAUUCCUNGUGUAGCGGUGNAAUGCGUAGAUAUNAGGAGGAAUACCGGUGGCGAAGGCGACUUACUGGACUUAAACUGACGCUGAGGUACGAAAGCGUGGGUAGCAAACAGGAUUAGAUACCCUGGUAGUCCACGCCGUAAACGAUGAGUGCUAGGUGGCUAGGGUCAAANNUCGGUGCCGNCGUUAACACAUUAAGCACUCCGCCUGGGGAGUACGUGCGCAAGCAUGAAACUCAAANGAAAUCGACGGGGACCCGCACAAGCAGCGGAGAUGUGGUUUAAUUCGAAGCAACGCGAAGAACCUUACCAGGGCUUGACAUAUUCAGGACCGAAUUNNNNAUNAGCCUUANGGAGCGGACGCCUCUCCUCUAUACAGGUGGUGCAUGGUUGUCGUCAGCUCGUGUCGUGAGAUGUUGGGUUAAGUCCCGCAACGAGCGCAACCCUUAUCUUUAGUUGCCAGCAUUNCGNUGGGAACUCUAGAGAGACUGCCGAUGAUAAAUCGGAGGAAGGUGGGGAUGACGUCAAAUCAUCAUGCCCUUUAUGCCCUGGGCUACACACGUGCUACAAUGGCAGGUACAAAGGGAAGCGAAAUAGUGAUAUUAAGCAAAUCUCAAAAAGCCUAUCCCAGUUCGGAUUGUACUCUGCAACUCGAGUACAUGAAGAUGGAGUUGCUAGUAAUCGCAGAUCAGAAUGCUACGGUGAAUGCGUUCCCGGGUCUUGUA
rnacentral:rRNA from 1 species